rfam:Triticum urartu cultivar G1812 contig901435, whole genome shotgun sequence.
UUAUUACUCCCUCCGUACCGAAUUAUUUGUCGUAUGAACGUAUCUAGAUGUAUUUUAGUUCUAAAUACAUCCAUUUCUACGACGAGUAAUUUGAAACGGAGGGAGUAGAUC